rnacentral:rRNA from 1 species
GAUGAACGCUGGCGGCGUGCCUAAUACAUGCAAGUCGAGCGAACAGACGAGGAGCUUGCUCCUCUGACGUUAGCGGCGGACGGGUGAGUAACACGUGGAUAACCUACCUAUAAGACUGGGAUAACUUAGGGAAACCGGAGCUAAUACCGGAUAAUAUAUUGAACCGCAUGGUUCAAUAGUGAAAGACGGUUUUGCUGUCACUUAUAGAUAGAUCCGCGCCGCAUUAGCUAGUUGGUAAGGUAACGGCUUACCAAGGCAACGAUGCGUAGCCGACCUGAGAGGGUGAUCGGCCACACUGGAACUGAGACACGGUCCAGACUCCUACGGGAGGCAGCAGUAGGGAAUCUUCCGCAAUGGGCGAAAGCCUGACGGAGCAACGCCGCGUGAGUGAUGAAGGUCUUCGGAUCGUAAAACUCUGUUAUUAGGGAAGAACAAAUGUGUAAGUAACUAUGCACGUCUUGACGGUACCUAAUCAGAAAGCCACGGCUAACUACGUG